GAACGGGUGAGUAAUACAUAAAUAAUCUACCAUAAUGACUGGGAUAACCAAUGGAAACGCUGGCUAAUACCGGAUAGGUAAAACGAGGGCAUCUUUGUUUUAUUAAAGUAGGACUACUACACAAUAUGAUGAGUUUAUGGCGCAUUAGCUAGUUGGUGAGGUAACGGCUCACCAAGGCGAUGAUGCGUAGCCGACCUGAGAGGGUGACCGGCCACACUGGGACUGAGACACGGCCCAGACUCCUACGGGAGGCAGCAGUAGGGAAUUUUCGGCAAUGGGCGCAAGCCUGACCGAGCAACGCCGCGUGAGUGAAGAAGGCCUUCGGGUUGUAAAGCUCUGUUGUAAGGGAAGAACACUUUUUAGAGGAAAUGCUAGAGAGCUGACGGUACCUUACCAGAAAGCCACGGCUAACUACGUGCCAGCAGCCGCGGUAAUACGUAGGUGGCGAGCGUUAUCCGGAAUUAUUGGGCGUAAAGGGUGCGUAGGCGGUUUAUUAAGUCUGUGGUGAAAGUGCGGGGCUCAACCCCGUAUGGCCACAGAAACUGAUAGACUAGAGUACAGGAGAGGGCAGUGGAAUUCCAUGUGUAGCGGUAAAAUGCGUAGAUAUAUGGAGGAACACCGGUGGCGAAGGCGGCUGCCUGGCCUGUAACUGACGCUGAGGCACGAAAGCGUGGGGAGCAAAUAGGAUUAGAUACCCUAGUAGUCCACGCUGUAAACGAUGAUUACUAAGUGUUGGAGAAAUUCAGUGCUGCAGUUAACGCAAUAAGUNNUC
rnacentral:rRNA from 1 species